CUCGGGCCGGCCCGGCCCACGGGGGCGGAGGGAGCUGCGGCGCUCUAGCCGAGGAGCCGGCGCCGGGGGCGGACGCGGAGCAGGCGUGGCGGAGCGGGGGGUCGGGCUACCUGCUGACGGGGAGCUGCCCUCGCUCCUCGCCCUCCCUGCGACCCCCACGCCGACCUCCAGCCGUUCCCUUGUGGUUCUGUAACGACGGGUUUUAGGAGCGUUUGGUGCUGUGACCCUGCAGAUGCUUUUACCGUCUUCAUUUCUUGGUCAAUGGCCCAGUCUUACUAGAGUGCGCUCUGCCGGUACGCCGCUUCAAAUCCUUUCCAGAAACUGAUCUCAAGAAAUUAGCAAGAUUGAUGAUGACUGCCAUAUUCCCACCAACACCAGAUUCCAUAACACAAACUAUGGAUAAUGAGGAAGAAGAGGUCCUGUUAUAGAUGACGUAUUAUCACUCUGAAGACUUGCCUAUUGGAAACAAGCUCUGGUGGUUGUAUUUUCUUUCUAUAUUACAAUCUGGUAAAGUGGUUGUUUAACAAUCUAUACCAGAUGAAUACAAUGAAACAAACAAAUUUAUUAAAAUAUACUAUAUUCAGAGAGCUAUGCUUCUUUCCAACACAUGGCCAGCCUAUGACUGAAGCUCUGGGCUCUUAAAAUCAUUAAAUUGAGUUGGGAAAAUUU
rnacentral:lncRNA from 1 species